AACGAACGCUGGCGGCAUGCCUAACACAUGCAAGUCGAACGGGAUCCUAGCUUGCUAGGUGAGAGUGGCGGACGGGUGAGUAACACGUGGGAAUCUGCCUUUUUGGUUCGGGAUAACCGCGGGAAACUGCGGCUAAUACCGAAUGCCCUCGAGAGAGGAAAGAUUUAUCGCCAGAAGAGGAGCCCGCGUCCGAUUAGGUAGUUGGUGGGGUAAAGGCCUACCAAGCCGACGAUCGGUAGCUGGUCUGAGAGGAUGAUCAGCCACACUGGGACUGAGAUACGGCCCAGACUCCUACGGGAGGCAGCAGUGGGGAAUAUUGGACAAUGGGGGCAACCCUGAUCCAGCAAUGCCGCGUGAGUGAUGAAGGCCUUAGGGUUGUAAAGCUCUUUUGCCAGGGAAGAUGAUGACUGUACCUGGAGAAUAAGCCCGGCUAACUUCGUGCCAGCAGCC
rnacentral:rRNA from 1 species